AUACUCGUUUCAGCAGCACAUAUACUAAAAUUGGAAUGAAACAGAGAAGAUUAGCAUGUCCACUGUACAAGGAGAUCCAUUUAAAAAUCACUCUAAACCAGUAAUG